UACGGAGGAUGCAAGCGUUAUCCGGAUUUAUUGGGUUUAGAGGGUGCGUAGGCGGGACUGUAAGUCAGGGGUGAAAUACUGCAGCUUAACUGUAGCAUUGCCUUUGAAACUGCCGUUCUUGAGUACAGUUGAGGUAGGCGGAAUGUGGUGUGUAGCGGUGAAAUGCAUAGAUAUCACGAGGAACUCCGAUUGCGCAGGCAGCUUACUAAACUACUACUGACGCUCAGGCACGAAGGCGUGGGGAUCAAACAGGA
rnacentral:rRNA from 1 species